rnacentral:tRNA from 2 species
GCUGGAAUAGCUCAGUUGGUAGAGCAGAUGACCCGUAAUCAUCAGGUCGUAGGUUCGAUUCCUAUUUCCAGCACCA